GACGAACGCUGGCGGCGUGCUUAACACAUGCAAGUCGAACGGAAAGGCCCUGCUUUUGUGGGGUGCUCGAGUGGCGAACGGGUGAGUAACACGUGAGUAACCUGCCCUUGACUUUGGGAUAACUUCAGGAAACUGGGGCUAAUACCGGAUAGGAGCUCCUGCUGCAUGGUGGGGGUUGGAAAGUUUCGGCGGUUGGGGAUGGACUCGCGGCUUAUCAGCUUGUUGGUGGGGUAGUGGCUUACCAAGGCUUUGACGGGUAGCCGGCCUGAGAGGGUGACCGGCGACAUGGGGACUGAGGUACGGCCCAGAGUCCUGCGGGAGGCAGCAGUGGGGAGUAUUGCACAAUGGGCGGAAGCAUGAUGCAGCAACGCCGCGUGCGGGAUGGCGGCCUUCGGGUUGUAAACCGCUUUCGCCUGUGACGAAGCGUGAGUGACGGUAAUGGGUGAAGAAGCACCGGCUAACUACGUG
rnacentral:rRNA from 1 species